UCUCUCCUCCACGAUCUUCUCUCCUCCAUUAUCUCUCUCCCCCCACGUACUACACGGUUCCUCCUCCACGAUAUCUUCUCUUCUCCAUUAUCUCUCUCUCCCAAGAUGCAAAUCAAAGCCAUCCACAGGCUCUACCCUUCUCCAUUAUCUCUCUCGCUCUAUGUCCCGAUGGAAUACAGAUCCAUAUUCUCAAGCAGAAGGCAUAGAUUCGAAAAAUCUAUAGCGCCUACUAUGCGCCAUGUGCGACUGACCCCCUGAUCCAGCGUGAUGGGCACACCCGGCUGGACAAACGAUUGAUUUCUUUGUGUCAUGCGGCCCUACAAAUCCUCAGGCAGCCCAACAAAUCCCCAUGCUCCGUCACCUCUGCACGGCUCUAUCCUCUCUCCUAAACAUCUGAACCGCCUUUGUGGGUAUAUAUUUUUCUUUUUUUUUCUUUUUUUUGCGGGAGGGUAUAUAUUUUUCUAUAAAGGAGUUCAGCUAUGCCAUGGUGUUGGUCGUGCAAUACGUGGUUAUUCAUGUGCAACAGUGCAGACAUGGAGAGGUGCGUAUUGUCGUAACAAAAAUUAUCAGAUUGUGGUGCAAGAAUGUUUGGUGAGCAGACAUGUUGAUAAGCGAGUCACUGCGUCAUGGGGUUAACUGUUGCUGAUCAGAGAUAAAUCAAGUAAUCAUCCAUAUAUCAGGACAUUUAAUUUUUUGGUCAGGGAGUAUUCACCGGUGGAACACACAUUAGUACUUGCCAGAAUAUACAUGUACGUGCCUGACUGCAAUGCAUGCUUGCAUCCUGUUCCAUCUGCAAAAAAAUUAAGAUCAGAUUGAGGCUUGGAGACUAGCAUAGAAUUGCAUCGAUGAUAACGCGCUGAGCCCAUGUCGUAGUGCCCGAAUGGCAGACCAUUGCGACUAAGACGAAGGCUUUGGUAAGCCCUGCAUGAUAAUAGUAUAAUUUUCAUGUCGCUAUAUGGAAGAAUGACUCCACAAGAGAAUCUUCGUCAUGGUUUGAGAGGAGGGCAUGUUAUGGCCUCAAAUUUCCAAUUUAGCGGUUUGGGCAUAAGGGGCACGCAGACAACCUGGCAUUGUUCAAGGCACCACUGCCGGAUGCGUUGUUCCGCAAGCCAUGUUUGCUUCCAUCUAGUACAAUAGACCAGAAAA